CUUUGAUUUUCUCUUACUAAUAUAUGUUUCUGAAAGCAUAUAUUUUAUCAUUGGCCAAAAUCACUGUCUUCAAUCUUAAUGUGGGGGAUGUUUCUGGAACAUAAAUUAUGCCAUAGAAUUGUCCACAUUUGAAGCCAGUGUUCCUGGCUUUUGUGCUCUGGUAUUUGUGAUUUGGUGCUCAGGGAAAUUUUUCAGGAAUCUCCCAGGCAGGCUGUUCUUGUCAACUCAGGGAGACUUCUGCAUACAAGGCACUCAGAGCUGCUUUUAAUAGGUGUACUCACUAGUAUUCUUGCCUGGAAAAUCACAUGGAUGGAGGAGCCUGGCUGGCUACAGUCCAUGGGGUUGCAAAGAGUUGGACACGACUGAGUGACUUCACUUUCACUUUUUCAUUUUCACCAGUAAAGAGGAUCCUGCUAGAUAUCAUCAGCAAAGUCAACCAUGUGAGUUCUCCUCCUCUAGUCUGCUCAUUGACAGUUUUUUAAUGUUAAUAAACUUUCUAAAAGAGAUGCAAAUUGUAUGCACUAUUUUUUAUGAAAGAUGAUAGAAUUGAUUUGCUACUAUUUUGAUUGUUUUCUAUAUCUAUGUUCAUGAAUGAAAUUUACUUACUACUUUAAUUUCACAAAUUGCCUUUUCUCAUUGUGGUGUCAAGGUUAUUCUAGAAUGCAAAUAAAAGUUAGGGACUUAAUCAUAUUUUUAUUUUUGGAAUAUUUUAUAUUAGAUUGGGGACACCUGUUCUUAGGAAACCUGGUAGAAGUCAUCCUCAAAAUUAUCUGUGCCUAUAAUGGGGGAAGGUGUUGUUGGAAGAGAGUUUUGGAGACAAAUGCUGGACCCUCUUCCCCAGUUGCUCAUGGAAGACAGACUGAUUCACACACAAACUAUUUGGUGAGACCUGGUACCAUGCCUCAUCUUGAUGCAAGAAAAGACAGUUGUUUUCAUAGACCUAAAGAUAACAAGGAGAAGGCAAUGACAUCCCACUCCAGUACUCUUGCCUGGAAAAUCCGUUGGAUGGAGGAGCCUGG
ensembl:lncRNA